rnacentral:rRNA from 1 species
CCAAUCGAACCCGGAGAUAGCUGGUUCUCCUCGAAAUAGCUUUAGGGCUAGCCUCAUGGAUCAUUGGUGGGGGUAGAGCACUGAAUGUGCGCGGGGGCCACAAAGCCUACCAAACGCUAUCAAACUUCGAAUACCAUACAAUGCAGACCAUGGGAGUCAGUCCGCGAGAGAUAAGUUCCGCGGGCAAAAGGGGAACACCCCAGAUCAACCGCUAAGGUCCCCAAGUUCACGUUAAGUGGAGAAGGAUGUGGAAUUGCACAGACAACCAGGAUGUUGGCUCAGAAGCAGCCACACAUUUAAAGAGUGCGUAAUAGCUCACUGGUCGAGUGAUUGUGCGCCGAAGAUGUCCGGGGCUAAACGUGACACCGAAGCGAUGGGUGCAUCUGAAGAAGAUGCGCGGUAGAGGAGCAAUGUGCAGAGGCAGAAGCCGUAUCGAGAGGCACGGUGGACACUGCACAAGAGAGAAUGCCGGUAUGAGUAGCGAGAGGCAUGCGAGAAACAUGCCCGUCGAAAGCCCAAGGUUUCCUGGGGAAGGUUCAUCCGCCCAGGGUAAGUCGGGGCCUAAGCCGAGGACGGAAGUCGUAGGCGAUGGACAGCAGGUGUAGAUUCCUGCACUACCGAUGGAAUGAAGCAGUGACACAGAAGGAUAACUCGAGCAGGGUGAUGGUCAACCCUGUGCAAGCAUCAAGGUUGGGUUGUAGUGAAGUACGCAACCCUAUAAGCUGAGAUGUGAUGCGGACCGAAAUUUCAGUAGGGAAGCGAGUGAGUUCACGCUGGCGAGAAAAGCUGCUAGUACAUCCAAAGGUACCCGUACCGGAAACCGACGCAGGUGGGCGAGGAGAGAAUCCUGAGACGAACGGGAGAACCCUUGUUAAGGAACUCGGCAAAAUGACCCCGUAACUUCGGGAUAAGGGGUGCCUGCGAGAGCAGGCCGCAGAGAAUAGUCACAAGCGACUGUUUAGCAAAAACACAGGUAUCUGCGAAAGCGAGAGCUGACGUAUAGGUGCUGACACCUGCCCGGUGCUGGAAGGUUAAGGGAACAUGUUAGAGCAAUCGAAGCAUCGAACCGAAGCCCCAGUAAACGGCGGCCGUAACUAUAACGGUCCUAAGGUAGCGAAAUUCCUUGUCGGGUAAGUUCCGACCCGCACGAAUGGUGUAACGACUUGUGAGCUGUCUCAACAGGGGGCCCGGUGAAAUUGAAGUAUGGGUGAAGAUGCCCAUUACCCGCGACUGGACGGAAAGACCCCGUAGAGCUUUACUGCAGCCUGAUAUUGAGUUUCGGUAACUGAUGCACAGGAUAGGUGGGAGUCUGAGAGACACGGGUUUCGGCUCGUGUGGAGACGCUGUUGGGAUACCACUCUUCGGUUACUGAAAUUCUAACAUAGCUCUGUGAAACCAGAGGAUGGACAGUGUCAGGUGGACAGUUUGACUGGGGCGGUCGCCUCCGAAAGAGUAACGGAGGCGCCCAAAGGUACCCUCAGAAUGGAUGGAAACCAUUCGAAGAGCGCAAAGGCAGAAGGGUGCCUGACUGCGAGAUUGACAAAUCGAGCAGAGACGAAAGUCGGGCUUAGUGAUCCGGCGGUAUUGAGUGGAAAAGCCGUCGCUUAACGGAUAAAAGCUACCUCGGGGAUAACAGGCUGAUCUCCCCCAAGAGUCCACAUCGACGGGGAGGUUUGGCACCUCGAUGUCGGCUCAUCGCAUCCUGGGGCUGUAUUCGGUCCCAAGGGUUUGGCUGUUCGCCAAUUAAAGCGGCACGCGAGCUGGGUUCAGAACGUCGUGAGACAGUUCGGUCCCUAUCCAUCGUGGGCGUAGGAGUCAUGAGAGGAGCUGUUCCUAGUACGAGAGGACCGGAAUGGACGCACCACUGGUGCAACUGUUGUCGUGCCAACGGCAUAGCAGGGAAGCGAAGUGCGGAUGGGAUAAACGCUGAAGGCAUCUAAGCGUGAAGCCCACCUCAAGAAUAAGACUCCACAAUAGACCCCUGGAGGACUACCAGGUAGAUAGGUCAUCGGUGGAAGCGCUGUAAGGCGUGUAGCUUGAUGAUACUAAUCGGUCGAAAGCUUCAUUUA